GAGAGAAUAACCAAUUUUUACUUAAUUGGAACUACAGUGGUCAGGUGGACACCUUCUAGUGAACUCCAUCAGACUAAGGAGCUCUGAAAUCAAAAUUGAGCAACAGACUGCACCUUUUUCAUUUCCCAACACAAUUCUACCAUCCCUUUGUUGACCAUCACUGGCUGUCAGACAUCAAUACUCAACUGCCAACUUCUGGACCAAUCGAGAGCUAUGGCAGGGCAAUGACUUGUCCUGCAGAAGCAGAUGGGCAGUGCCAAGCUGCCCACCUUUUGGGCUGUGGGGUCUGAAGGUCAGCACCUGAAACCUAGGCACCUCCAUGAAGAACCCCUGCAGAAGCAGGGUGAGCGGGAUUACUCAACAUAUCUAAGAACUUCGAGAAGAUUGCGGCUGUCUGGACCAAGCCAAUAAGCCAAUGUCCACCUAGCCAAUAAGAAGUCUAACCAUUAUCCCCUUCCAGCAAUAAGAACCUGAAUAAUAACAUUAUCACAGUUGGCAAUUUCCUCAUCCCUGCCCAUCUGCCAGGAACGGGGGAAGACAGAGACUACCUUCACAACAUUUACAAUCCAGGAACCUGACUAAGGUUUGAGGAUUACCUUUCUUUUGAAUUUAUCCUGUUAACUUAUCGCAGUGUCUUUCCCUGACCUCUUUAGGAUUUAAUUAGCACAUUUUCCCUAUUAGUGUGUAAAUUCCUUGUGGAGGAGAAUGUAGCAAUCUAAAGUUGUGUUAUUUUCAAGUGCAGUGCUC